rnacentral:rRNA from 1 species
AACCCCUGUGACAUACCAAUUGUUGCCAUCGGCGGAUCAGCCCGCUCCACGGUAAAACGGGACGGCCGCGCCAGAGGACCCCUAAACUCUGUUUCUAUAUGUAACUUCUGAGUAAAACCAUAAAUAAAUCAAAACUUUCAACAACGGAUCUCUUGGUUCUGGCAUCGAUGAAGAACGCAGCAAAAUGCGAUAAGUAAUGUGAAUUGCAGAAUUCAGUGAAUCAUCGAAUCUUUGAACGCACAUUGCGCCCGCCAGUAUUCUGGCGGGCAUGCCUGUUCGAGCGUCAUUUCAACCCUCAAGCCCCAUCGGGCUUGCUGUGUUGGGGAUCGGCGAGCCUCACGGCAAGCCGGCCCCGAAAUACAGUGGCGGUCUACGCUGCAGCUUCCAUUGCGAUAGUAGUAAAACCCUCGCAACUGGUACGCGGCGCGGCCAAGCCGUUAAACCCCCAACUUCUGAAUGUUGACCUCGGAUCAGGUAGGAAUACCCGCUGAACUUAAGCAUAUCAAAAAAGCAUAUCAAAAGCCCGGAGGAAAUUUUA